rnacentral:rRNA from 1 species
GACGAACGCUGGCGGCGUGCUUAACACAUGCAAGUCGAGCGGUAAGGCCCUUUCGGGGGUACACGAGCGGCGAACGGGUGAGUAACACGUGGGUGACCUGCCUCUAGCUCUGGGAUAAGCCUGGGAAGCUGGGUCUAAUACCGGAUAUGACCUCGCGGUGCAUGUUGCGGGGUGGAAAGCCUUGUGCGGCUAGGGAUGGGCCCGCGGCCUAUCAGCUUGUUGGUGGGGUGAUGGCCUACCAAGGCGACGACGGGUAGCCGGCCUGAGAGGGCGACCGGCCACACUGGGACUGAGACACGGCCCAGACUCCUACGGGAGGCAGCAGUGGGGAAUCUUGCGCAAUGGGCGAAAGCCUGACGCAGCGACGCCGCGUGAGGGAUGACGGCCUCGGUUCGUAAC